AGAGUGUCGUGAGCCUGAGCCGUGCAGACGCCUGGGUUCUAUUGAUUCUCACGGAAAGGAUUGAAGGUAAUCUACAUCUCUCCUUUGGCACACACGGGGGCAAUCGUCGUGGAAACGGGCACGGGGAUGUAACCCUCGACCCUCCCUAGUCGAGGGCGGCGUGCAAGGAGCGGCGGGAAGGUGGAAAUAGCGCGCAGAGCGUGGCGGCGGCCGUGAUGAAGGUGCCACGAAGACACACAAUGUCGUCUGACUCGGAAGAAGAAAAUGGGGUCAGGCAUGAAAAGGACGACAGCGAUGGGGGUAAUUAUGAUCGCAGGUCAAGAUCCCACUCCAGGUCAGCAUCCCCGGGAGAUCAGAGGUCAAAUCGGCAGAAUAUGUCCGAUAGAGAGGACUCGGUGGAGGGAAGGGAGAAUGGGAUGAGAGGGGAAUCGGACACAGAAGAAAACAGAGGGCAGAAAGGGUCCAGUCACUCGAGGACUCCAGAGGAUAAGGAAAUGAUAGAGUGGAGUGGUGAGGCAGCAGAAAAGAGACGCUCGCGCAGCAGGAGUGGUGAAGCUGAGGGUAAAGUGGCAUCUCGUAGUCGUAGUAAGAGUAAGCAGAGGGAAGUGGACACCAGUAAAGAAAGGAAAUCUAGUUCUUCAUCAUCUAAAAAGAAAUCUCGAUCCAGAAGAUCUCGCUCACGGUCACGUAGUAAGAAGCGAUCUCACUCGCGAAGUAGAAGAUCUCGCUCUAGAAGUCGGAAGAAAUCCAGGUCAAGGUCCCGAUCCCGUGGAUCAAGACGACGAUCCCGAUCCCGGUCAAGAAGGCGUUCAAGAUCUCGAUCCAGAAGUGGAACUCCAGUGGAUGGAGCUCGUCUUCAUGUAGCUGAGCUAGACGUUGACACUCGUAAGAGGGACUUGGAACGAGUGUUUGAGAAAUAUGGCCGUCUGAGAGAGAUCUGGAUGGCCCGGAAUCCACCCUGCUUCGCUUUCGUGGUUUAUGCACAUCAGAAGGAUGCAGAUAGAGCACUUAAAGAAACUGAUGGAAUUAUGAUUGGCCACUGCCGCAUCAAGGUCACUCAAGCAAGGCCCCGUGUCCGUGGCGGGCGCAUGAGGGGAGCCUACGAUCCAAAUCUGCGAUGUUACCAGUGCGGUGAACUAGGUCACUUUUCUAGAAAUUGCACAGACACCAAGUUUGGCUAUAAGCGACCCCCAACUCCCCCAGGGAUGUGUUAUGGUUUGGUAUUGUGGUCAUGUGGUUGGGUUAUUGGUGCGGUGGGGAGAGGCGCCUCCAGAGUGCCUUGAGAAGCGUCAUGAUGGCACAGCUGCGGUGGCACGGCCGCGCUCACUUCAAACAGCUCACCGGGGAUCAGGAAGAUAUCGGCACAGGUCCCGAUCGAGGUCCCGCUCACGGCACCACAGCCGGUCAAGGUCCCGUUCUUGAGGAACGGGUUCAGGAGCUUGUAGGUGAAUGGGCUGUGGCUUCUGCUCGGCAGAGUCACUGAGUCUGAUACAAGGAGAUACACAG
rnacentral:misc_RNA from 1 species